AUCGAAUGAAGGAGCUAAUGAAUUCAAUAAAAUCAGGGAAGGCUUCUUGGAGGAGGAGCACCUUGCUCCAGUGGGCUGAGAAGACAUUCCAUGAGACCAGAGCAAGGAGAGGAGUGGCCUGGCAGCUGAAGCCAGAGACAGACUUGAACCUGGAGAAUCUUCACAUCAAACCUAGGAGAAAGGUACUAUUAUCAUCUCUAAGUUACAAAAAUGGGAACUGAGCCACCAAAUGGCUAAGUGGUUUGCCUAAGAACACAGCGCUGGGCAGACAGAGGAACCAGGGGACUUAGGCCUUGCCAAGGAGGUGACAGUUGGACUGGCCUGGAGGGACUGGCCUGGAAAGAACAGCUACAGUAUGGCCACAGGGUUCCGGGAUGGCCAAGGAGGCCCAUCUCACCAGACCUGGCCCUGAGAAACUUCACCAGCAAGGCUUUCAAAUCGGAAAUAUUAAAUCCCCCCAGGUCACACAGCUGUGUUGUCUGGGUGGUGGC
rnacentral:lncRNA from 10 species